GGAAGCAGCUGUCCUGACGGAUCGUUCAAAAUGCUACAAACCCCUUGAGUCUCAGCUGUCCCUGCAAUACAGAGGAUACAAGGUAAAAUCACUCAUCUGAGCUGUUGUAUUUUCUACUGCUUUGGAAAUUUCCACAAAAAAAGUAAACUAGAAGAGUCUUCAAACUUUUAUAACAGCUUUAGUUUAGUAUGCCUGUGGGGCUCAUGUCUGUGCGAAACAACAGACUGACGAACAGAGUUAUGCUCAGAACUUAAAGGUCUGUCUCCCCUUCACUUCUUGCACUCGCUCAUUGUUGUUUUAACAAAGAUCUAUUCUGUUUAAACAAUACAAGCGCUCAUAAUGAACUGCACCUGUCUGCCUUAUCUGUCCUCCUUUUCUUCAGAGAGUUCUCCAAGUUAAAGAGAAAAGUGAAAGUGUGAGAAGGGGAAAUAUAAAGUAGCUUCAACUUGAGGUUUCCGCACGCUGAAGGCCGCACUGACCUUGAGAUGAGGCGUGGUUUUCAAAUGUUUGUAUCGUUGUUGAUUCAUAAGAAACUGAACAAUCUGUGUGACAAUUUUCCAUCUUCAAAACAUGUUUUUUUUUUUUUUUGUGACUUUUGAACAUGACCUUCAGUUUGUUCUGAGUAGUGCAACAAAUUUUCUCUGACCUCUUCAGCGUUUAAUACUCUUAAUACAGAGUAAAGUAUUAAACUAAGAGGUAACAUGGCCCCUCAAGUCAGAAAAGUGGUGUGGACUGACAGAUUGAGUAUGGCUUUCUGUGAGUCCUAAACUAGAAAAAUUGGCCACUAGGUUCUGCUUAAUGUGCUCGUACAGACUUUUAAGGACAGUUUGAAGAGUUUUGUCCAAAACUUGGAGAAAGAAGAAAAUAUGAUGUAGUAUCAGGGCCAUCUAGAAUAAAAAAUAGAUUUAACUCAAUAUUUAAUGGGUGUAGAGUUGUAAAUACCUGAAUACCAAAGUCUUUUAGGAAAACAGGACCAUGUUGUUGUGCUUUAAGGACUCUGAAUCCACAGCCACCGUUUGCUCUUGGAUCCAUUUCCUCAGUUAAGUGCUAGCAGCUGUCCGCCCCUCUUAUAUCACCCCGCUUAGUUCACGUAUUGAUAAACAAUUUUAUGUCUUUUGACUUUUCUCAUGAGUCAGAUUAAAACUUCAUUCUCCCAAAUGUUCACCUUUAAACACAUCCAGUCAUGACUAAAACAUUUUCUGAGUUUGUUCAAGUAAAUUUAUGAACAUUUUCCAAUAAAUCUAAGUGUUUUUGUAAAAUUACAAAUUUUUCUUCAAUAACUUAUUCUUGUAAAACUUAAUUGUAAUGUUAUGACUUUAUUUUGUACACUCAGGGAUUAUUUUUGUAGCUUUGUUGGUUAAUCCUGUUGUAUUUAUGACUUUGAUCAUGAAUUUACGACUUUGUUAUCACAGAAUUAUGGCUAAAUCCUUUUAAAUUUAUGUGAUUUUAUUCAUGCAUUCAAGACCUAUUCUCCAACAACUCAAUUUUCAUAAAAAUCUGUAUUUUUGAGAUUAUGACUUCAUUCUGGUAAUUUUCUUUUCUGGUAAAUUUACAAGUUCGUCUCUCAGGACUUCAUGAUUUCUCUUCUCAGAAUUUUAUGACUUAAUUUUCAUAAAUUCACCAACUAUUUUCAUAAUGUUUUUCAAUUUUCCCUCAAAAGUUAUAUUUUGUAAAAUUACAGCCUUAUUCUCAUCAUAUCAGAGUUUUUUGCUCCUAAAUUUUGACUACAUUUUUUGUAAAUUUGUGACUUUAUUGUCAAUCCAUGAAUGUUAAUUUAUGAUUUUCUUCUUUUAUUCAUUUAUCCCUUCUAAGUAACUCCUCAGUCCUCUACUGUUUGGAGUUUAUUCUCAUGAUAUUAAGACUUUAUUGUAGAAAUCUAAUUUUGUCAUCCUUGAUGUGGCUCUAAUCCUCACUUGUAGGAUAUUAGGAGUACAUGAGAAGAAUAAAGCCGGUUGCAUUUGCAUAUUAAUCACAUAAAGGUUGAACACCUGGGUACUUUCAAGUUAAUUUGGUUUUAGAUUUGUGGUCACAAGCGUUUUAAAAUAAAUGCUGAUUUAAAGAGAAAUUCCUGCUGUAGUGUGGCCCAUCAAAGUGUGACCACAGGUGAAGAUAUGGAGCUGCUGCACCUUUUACAGCAUUGUAAUGAGCUGCAGCCAUUGUGUCUCUGAAUGUAUAAUUAUUAUGUGUGAAUAAUGAGACUGAACUGUGUGGAUACUUCCCACUGUGGGUCCCUGUGCAGCCGAGCUUUCACAUCUGGCCAGAGCUUUGAAGUAGCAGGUGUGCCAUCAACAUGCACCACACACACACACACACACACACACAGAAAAAAAACAACCAGACACUGCCACCAUAUUUUUGAAUAAGAGCAAGACGCAGCUCUUUGUUGUAAGUACAAAGAAUAUACACAUUGUCGUUUUGGUGUUCGGGGACUGUUUUUGAUACAGAAUAAUCAGAUUCACUCAUCUUAGGUUACCAAGGCUUUAGAGCACAAAAGAAAAAAACAGGUUUAAACCCACACGGUUGUCAAGCACUAGUCAUCGGGGAUGAGCGUCAACUUGACUGGAGUCUCUCUACUCUUGUGUGGAAGACCUGAUCUGACACAGCUCCCCCUCCCAGUAGCGAAGUAGGAUUGUAUUUCACAUGAAAAAGAUGAGAUUCACACACAUGCACAAACACCCACACACAUGCAAAAAUGUCUUGAAUUGAUGUUCAGGUGAGGCAAAUUCACAGUAGAAUUACAGAAAAGUCAUUCAGAUGUCACCGCUCAACACAGGUUCACGUAUAUCAACGUACUUGAGUUACUUUUGGGGUUGCAAAGAGCCUGAAAGUUUGACGAAACAACUCUGCCAACCAGAAAUAUUUUGUUCUUUCUCAGGGACGGCCUAAUGUAAUUCCCGAUGAGUCUGAAAGCGGAUAUUUACGAUUUUUCUGACAGCACGUGUUGGGUUUCAAUCCCCUGUUUUUCUUGCUUAGAAAGGAAACAGGAAAGAAAAAUAACACUGGAGAAAAAUAUCUUAAUGUACCAUUUACAUCCACCAUAAGAUUGACUUUUAUAGGCUGUGUUUGUAUGAUCUCACUUUUGUUUGAAGGAACUAGAGUUAGUAUGUUUCCCUGCACACUUAAAUCAAGGUAUAAUUAAUGCUUAAUAUGGCAAUUCACCUGGACUUCUUAGCAAACUAAUUUGACAUUGUUUACCCUCAGACUCUGUGAUUAAGCUCAUUUCUGACUGUAUCCUGGAGAUAAAAUUUAUGCCGUAAUGCAGCACGUAAAAGCUGUAUUAGAAUAACUUUCUGUAGUCAAACAGAUGUAAAGGCAACGUGAUGUUUCCAGUGGUUUUAUUGGUUCCCAUAGGGUGACCAUGCAUCCUCUUUUACCCUUUUGUCCUGUUUUUGGGGGGCUGUCCGGCCUUGUCCAGCCUUGUCCGGGGAAGUUUAUAAAAUCCUUCAAAUGUCCACAGUUUUGUAUGAAAGUUUCGAGUUUGUGUCACAUGGACUUACUGAGUUAGAAGCGCGUAAAAGACACUCGAUCUGACCCAAAAACUCUCAAAUUUAACUUUGUGCGACUUCGUGAUUCCACCCCAGCGUAGUCGUGUCCUCUUUUUGGGAAGUCAGAAUAUGGUCACCCUAGUUCCCACAAAUACGCCAUAUUGGCUCUUGAUGUUAGCUUGUGGCUUUUGACGCCAAAACCCUGAAUUUAGUGGGCCCUGAGGCUAAAGUGGAUCCGAAUAUUUGGUGUCUAUGUUCCUGUUGACAGAAAUAAUAUUCCCAUUCUGAUACCACGAUUAUACAAAGUCUUCGUCGUCCAUAACUUCUCAAGAUGACUCCAUUGCUUCAUGAGUUUUGUUUGAAAGCAGUGUAAGAUCCGCCUUUAAGUCAUGUGACAAACAAUGACUUGAAUUGGCAGUUAUAUAAGGUUAUGAGUUCGGCUGGAUCCCAAAAACACACACGGAGAAAACACCCAGAAACCGCUAUACUGGUUUAAAAAUAACCACAGUUAAAUGAGUUUUCUGGUUUGUGUGUGUGUGAGUGUGUGUGUGAGGGCAGGAUGAGGCUGCAGCGACAGAGUAAUUAAAAGAAACAAGUCUUUGAUCUUAAUGAGGUUUCUGUACUCUCCUCAGUGAGAAAGGGGGUGUCUAUGUAUGUGGGAGAGUGUACUUUCUUAAAAAAAAUGAACGCCCCCCCAAAAUAAACUCUAUCUGAAAUCAAAAGUAAACUCCAAUUCUAUACCAAACAGUGGGGGGGAGUUUUAUCUCCGCCCGCUCUGGUGGCUUUCUGCUUUUUGGUCACACUGCAUGUCUAUUCUUUGAAAUAACAGAUUUAGGUCAGUGAGGAGAAAAAGCCAUUUCCUCCAUCAGUUUUUCCUCUCAACUUUCUGACUAAUUGACUAGAAGAUCAUUUGAAUUCUGAACGGUGGCAGCAGGAGUCCACUCCAUUCAGUGGUGAGAUUGAUGUAUCUAAACAACACCAACAAACAUGGCCCGCAAUCACUCCAGAGGGGGUACUCCACUGAGAACAUCAUUACCGACUCUGUGUUGUCUGCUAAAUCAAAGUAGCUCCCCCGGCUUUGAUAAAAGAGACGGGUGCCGACCGGGGUGGCAGUUUGCUGCCGGGUUAGCCUGAUCAGAAUUCACAACAUAGAAACCAGAGGUGGCCAUGUUAUCUUGCCCGGCUGAAAUUAAUGUAAACAAACCGAGACGUAGAAUUAAACAUAAGGAAAGGUUUGAUAUGGUCUUCUUGGAUGUUACAGAUCUGCUGGUUUGGAGCAAGAUGACAAACAAAGCCAUAUCAAACAGAAUAUAAUACAGCUGAAAAUAAACUGCACGAUAUUAUCAGACGGAAUAAAAUAUAAGUGUAGUGUAACCCAGUAGUUCAGCAUUAUUUAUUAAUAAGGAGAAAAAGUUAGUUACAACGAGCUAAUCAAUAAUCAAUGUCACACAUACAGUAGGGGGGCAAAACCACUGGCUUUGUCCAAAUGAAGGACCUAGCCUACAUGACGUCAAACCUAUUUAUGGACCUCAUUUUUGGUAUUACUGCUGUGGUCUAGCAAAGGUUGACUGAGUUUUGAUUCACUUCGAUUUUAUCUGCUCUACAGAUGUUUGUGGUUGUUGCUUAGCAAUCCCAACCCCUUUAAUAUAGCCUGAUAAACUAGCAGUUUAACUCUAAAUGGGACCAUAAUUCAUAAAACUGAUGAAAUGCUGUUCUUAUUUGAGUUGUUAAAACUAACCUACUAUACAAAUGUCACCAAAGUAACAGGAAUUGGACAAAGUAAUCUCUAAAAUGGUCAAAUAGUGUAUGGCACCAUUUAAUAGAAGCAAGGGGGGCAUCUUUAUGGGUCUAAUCUGGAAGUACCAAACACUGCAGUUCCUCAAGUGGCCACUGGAGGCUGAGUCAGAAAGUGAGUCAAGCCCAUUUAGCCUCAUAUUUAAAUGACAAACUUUGCAGCAGAAUAUAUAAAGUUGAGGAUUAUCACAGGAAUGUUUGCUGCACAAUCACCUCAGCAAUUUUAAUCACAUAUUCUAACCUCUCUGCUGUGUUUGUGUCUCCAUGCAAUUACCUAAUAAGAUAGAAGUGCUUGUUUACUUUGUCUGGAAAAAUGUGCUUUUAUACUUGAAAAUGGUGAAGGAAAAAAUCAACAAACUAUUUUGGGCUGAAAAAUGAAGUCAGUUCCUCAAAUGGCCACUUGGGGCUUAUAUGAGGUCCCUUUGACUUGAAAAACUUUGCCAAACCUUUUUGAGUAAAAACAUAAAAACUUGAACACAUGCUUAGAUAAUAGAGAGAGAAAUUUUAAGGUGCAAAAAACACAAUCACAAAGGUUUGUUGUACUAAUUGGCUGUUGAAGAGAUCGCAGAGUGAGUUACUGUGGUUUUAGCAAAUCUAGACUUGAGGUUUUAUUUACUCUUUUAAAGCAAUUAACUUUUGAUCUUUGCUUUUGUCCUAAUUAGUUGCGACCUGAUGUUAAACAAAAGAAAAACAAACCAAAAAAGUAAGGUCAUGACACGCUGCAGUCACUAAACACCUGAACAGCUUUACAUUUAAGGGGACUGAUGUGCACAGAGGCAGUUUAAUAUUCAGAGGAGUACUCAGACACACAUAAGCUAUCUCUCACAAACUUGUUAAACACACAGAACACACCGAAACCCUCCCUGGGAUUCAGACAUGCCACUGUGUAAAUGAACAAAUGUUGCUACCUCUCUGAAAUCAUGACCUUUAAUAAGCGCAGUCUGUUUUCUGUUUGCCGGACACAUGGGAUAGGUGUCUUAAUCAAACUGGAGCAUUUGGUCCUGGCUGCUUUUGACAGCUUCAGACAGUUUCUCAUUACUGAGCUGGCAUUUAGCAUUUAGUCAUUUUAACAUUCAGUUCCACUCCUGUCUGCUGAGUCAGAGCACAGCCUGUACUCCUCUACCCCAAAACACUAAACAAACUCCACAAUGGGGCAUUAACAAGGUUUGAAAACACUUAAUGAAGAAUAAAAUCAAACAAAAGGACUGAUUAGGAGUGUUUCAGAGAAGUACACAUUGGUCAAAAGAGAGUGAUGAAGCUUUUUCUGGUGAUUUGUUCAUCUUUUGGUUCAUUUGUAUAGUUUAUUUACUCUUGGUGGCUUGUGGCUGUGAGUUUAGUAUUCGUAUGUGUACACAUAUAUUUUGUUUCUGUUACUGCGGGGAAAAAAUAUUAUUACAUUCCCCCCUAACUCUGCAAUCCCAAUGCAAACAUCAUCAACAAGUCAGACUAUUCAGCUGUUCGGUUCUUUCAGAGCAGAGAAAACAAACCCGGCCAAACAAAAAGUUGGCCACAGUUUAAGUUCUGUAAAUUUCUGGGGCCGUCCGAUGCAAAUCACCUCCUAACACGUCUUUGUGCCCCCAUCAUUGUAAUUCUGUUUCAUGAACAAUAGCUGGUGCAAAACGGAUGAGAAGCUGAUUACAACCAUUCAGCGCUCCCCAGAUCUCCACCUCUUUGAUUUGAAAGGCUAUAGCUGCAACAAUCAUCGAGGUCAACGUUAAAGAACGGCGCAUGUAUGAUUAAAUUUUUUCUGUUCAUUUCUCGCUUUGUCCUCCAGCUUAGCAUCAUGUUCCAGCGCUCAAAACAUCUCAUAGUUUGAGGUCUUUCUGUCCCCAAAGUUGUUUUAUUCUAAAAGAGACAGGAACAAGAGGUCUCUAUUCAUUUAAUUGUGGAAAUACUUAAUUUUAAUACAGUCAAUUUGUUUGUGUAUCUGAGAGCUAUGUGGUGACUCUGUAAGGUCAGUUUACACAACACAGCCGACAAAGAAUUAGUCUACUAAUGACAGGUAUUGGUAUAAUUAAGGGCAUAAAAACCUACCAGACACCCAAACUAUACCAAACAACAGCUUAACACUCAGAAUUUAAAAUUUUGGAAUGCAUGAUGAUUAUGAGUGAAUAAAAUACUGGAUAUACAUCACAAAGUCAUCUGCAAAGAGUGUCAAAGCUUUCAUAAUGUCAAAUAAUGGCUUUUAAAGGCUCACUUUAAGCAUUUUAGACAUAGGCAUCUUGUAAUUUGGCACCCAAAGUUUUAAUGUUCAGGCAGUGGAGUAGAGAAGAAGUGGCUCCGACAUAAAUACCAGAUCAUUAAAUUAAUAAUGCAUCAUGCAGUGUAUCACUAAACCCCCAAUUGGAACAAAAAUCUUUAAAUAAAUAUUUAGAAAAAGUAUAAUUUUUUUCAUAGACAGCGAAGUUGCCCCCUGCUGGGAAUGAAAAGGAAUGCAGGUUUAAGACACUUGGCUUUACUUUUUAGACUAACUGGGGGGUCAUGUAAACUUUUUUUCACGCUCCCAUCCAAUUAAAAACACCUUUUUUCCUUUCUUGUGCAUAGCUAUACUUCAGUUAUCUUACAGCCUAGCAACACUUAAAUGUGGUAGCAAAAAGGCCUAAAAGGCGUGCACACAAAACCACUCCCAUGUCUGUCCUUCAGGAGAUGCAAUUUCUUCCUUUGCUAUUCAGCCAACCACAUCAGAUUACUUAUUAAAGGUAGAGAAGUAAGCGAAAAACAUGCCAUAUCACUUGAAAAAAUGCUGUUUUGACCAUGACUUCAAGAAUAACCACCUCCAGUUUAUGUCAAAAUUCUGGAUCAUAUGUUUAGUGCACUGGUGCUGGUUCUUCUGGGGCAUUCGCCAUGUUUGAUAUGGUGUUUUUCUGCCUCUGCAUCUGUCAGCACAAGUCUGCACCCGUCUCUCUUAGGAAACAAACAGGCAACCUAUCAGCUUCAUAUGAAUUUGCAUUAAUAAGUUAAUUAACAGAAGCAUUCAGUACUUCUGUGAAAAUAGGAAACUGCAUUAAAGUGUGAGGAAUACAGAAUAUACAGAGUUCUGAGAUUUUUCAUUUCCUGGUUAAAUUGGGUUGAAUAAGUUUAAAUGAAAUGAAAUCAAGCAGAAGUUCAGAGCAUCAAGUCAGUGUUUCUUUUUUUUUCUGUAAAAGCAGAAUAUUAUAAAAGUGUUGUUUCCAAACUCAAGAAGAACAUUAAAUCCAACUUCUCUUUUUCUAAUACUUCUCAAAAGUAUCACUCAGUGGUCUCCAAACAUGUAUCGCUGAGAUGGAUUUUCCUCCCUGCUCCUCUCUGCAGCAGCUAAUUCCUCCUCUGGCUGACCAGCUGGGAUGAAACCCUUCACAGAAAUAACCUGUCCGACUCACUGCUCUGAUCUGUCUCUGCUUCUUAACCUCAUGGUGACUCGCUGAGGGAACACAUAUCUCUUGUUGCCCUGUUGUUGGUAACCCCUGCCUUCUUCAGGUGCAAUAAUUUGGAAAAUCCCACAGCUCUGAGGCUGUCUACUUGCUAGGUAAUGGGACUUUAAAAUGACUACCACAUGCUACCUGUGCAACAUGCCCCACUGCUCCACAACACAGUAUCAGGAGAUUAUCCCCCGGCGUACAGUGAAUCCUUAUCUUAAGGUUUCAGUUGGGAUUAUUUCGCUUGGUGUUUUGGAGGCUCCAGUAGGAGAGAAGACCUGGUGAUGCAAUGAAACACAACCCCCCAUAAUUGGCUACAACCCCCAAGGCAGAUAUUUUAAGAGCUUUUAUGAUUUGCAGUAUAAUCACUGUGAAGAAAACCAGCUUUUGGUUGUAGAAUUAAGAAAUCUGUGAAUAUUUGUCCCUAUCUUUGUCAUUUUUUUAAAGUUACAAAUCACAAAACAGUUCAGAUAAUUACUAUCCUGCACUGCUGCUUAAACUUAAUUUCUUAAUAACUGAAUGAGCACAGAAUGAGCACUGAAUGAGAAUGGUCUGGUUAGCUCAUACCUAUACUUAGGGCUAGACGAUAUGGGAAAAGGUUUAUCAUGAUAUAUUUUUUUCAUAUCGGUGGAUAUCGAUUUGUAUCACGUUAUAAAAAAUCACUCAAUCUUAAAUGUUUCCUGUUACUAUUAAAUGAAAUAAAGUUAUAUCUCAGUUUUGAAGAAAUAGAGUCUCAGAUUUAGGACCAUAGUUAGGACCACAACUGAGCAGACUGAAGGGCGAGCAGACUGUAUCUUUUAGCAAGGAUGUUUAAGGCGUUAACUCCACCUCUUUCUCUGUUGUUGGGUUGGUCCUCCAUUUUUGACACCCUCUGAACUUUGUGCUUUCUGUUUGCUUUUGUGGCCAUACCUGCAUUUGUUGCAUCCUUUUUCAUUCAGGUCACUCCCUGAUUGGCUAUUUUCCUGGUCCUCAUGACAGUCCACAAAGUGAUCGCUCGGCUGCUCUUGGGGUUCCUCCCACUCAACAGCAAAUCAGACUGUAACUGUUGUUAUUAAUAAAUGUGAUAUUUACAAUUUCAAGCCAGGGUGACUCUGAUCACUGUCUUAGCAGAUUUGAUGAAGUAAAAUUACAGGAAAAUCUGAGGAGAAUCUCUCAAGAUUAACUUAAGUACUGAGAAAAUAGGACUUGGUUGACUUUUGUUAUGAGGGAGAGAAAGGGCCCCAAAUCAGAUUAUUCUCCUCAAACCACUUGAGGGAGUAAUUAGAGAAGUUUUAUAUAUUUCAUCACAACGUGUCGUUUCAUCAUUUUUUAUUUUGAUGUAUUUUACAACCAACGACAUAAAUUUUCAUCUCAAUUUGUUUCCCUGCAGUCAAGCCAAUUUUCCUAUUUUUCUCAGUGAGAUUCUUUUCCUUUGUGGCAAUUUUGGAGCCGGUGCAUCAAUAAGUUUUCACUGUGAUGAGUAAAAGCUGUGUUGUUGUAGUGAAUGUAUCUAAAGAUUUGAGGGAGAAUGAAUUAGACUUUAUUUUGACUCAGAAAAAUGGAUGUGAUUUGUUUCGACCUUGUAGCUGCAGUCUCUAAAGUUGUUGUCAGAACUCAUUUCACACAUUAAUUCAAAUGCAUAUUUAUGCUCUGAUGUUUGCCCUUUCUGAGGAUUUCUGCAUCAUAUUUCCAUUCAUUAUACAUUCAUUGGUCGUUGAAAUAAAUACAUAUGGUGUGAUUAGUCAGAAAGUCUGCAAAGGUUAUUCUUGUAGUCAGAAAAUUCUGCUGGUUAAAUAUAAAAACGGGAAUAUAGACACCUACUGGAUCACGUUUGGGGAGAAAGAAAAACCUGUCGCUUCAUUUCUUUUGUAGCUGAGCGCAUGACUCAGAAAACUGGCACAGCAUAACCAGAACGAGCCAAGAAAUUCUCCACCAUGGCAGCACAUCAGCUUCCACAGGUGACACAGAGACUUCCUGUUAAUUUCCACAGCAGGAAUAGUUAAAUGCCAUCCAAACACGCACUAAAUCAAGCCUGGUAGAAGCGCUUCAAUCCAAUAUACAUAAUCUGUGCAGGAGAAUUAGUGUAUUUACCGACGUCUGUGUGCACAUGUGCAUUCUUGUGUGUAUUUCUCUGGUGCUGCACAGAGGGAUGCUUGACUCCCAAUAGAUGUCAUUAUUUUCCACUUGCAAGCUCUCAUCCCAGCAUGACUGCAGAGGUAUUUUUAUUAUUCCGUCUGUGUUAUUUUCUGCGUGCAUGUGUGGAUGAGUGUGCAGCGCUGUGAAAGAGGGAAGGAAGGAGGUGUGCACGUUUUUUUUGCGUGUGUUCAUGUGUGGGCGCGCGCCUCACAAAGUGAUUGAAUCUUUCAAAAAAGUUCCCGGCGCCUUCUUGUGCUUUCUGGUUUGCUGAAAAAUAUGAGAAUUUCUCAUUUCCUACUUAAAUUUCUGCCACAAAGACGCUUUGGUGCAUCAAAUGUCAGAGUGUCAAGGGAAUCAGUUGAAGUCACUGGCACAAAUACAAUCUUUCAUCUGGUUCAGGAGCUGGCUUUUGAAUUAACUCUGUGCAGGGUGACUGUCUAUCAGGCGGGCAGAGGAGAGUUGGAGGGGAUACAACCGAGAGGGGAGAGAUGAUGGGAUUAAUUUUAUCUGCAAAAGUGUCUAGAAGGUGUUAAAAUGGGCUUUUGUGAGCGCCGCACCUGGAAAAAAAAAGCAGCCGAGCGUGUGCUGUGUUUCUGUCAGAGUCUGAUCAGCACCAUGGACAGCUCCCUGCUCACUGCACCAUGACUCCAGUCCUCAUCCUUCAUUUUCAUCUCAUUUCUGAACAAUUAGUACGGGGAAGUAAAUCAAAGAGGAGCUGAAUGAAUCUGAAGCCAACUGUUCCCACGUUGAAUCAAGGCUGCAGCAGGAUAUGAUGUGUACUAAACAGGACGAGGCCUCUCAGGUGGUUACUAGAUCUAAUGUGAGAACUUUCGGUAACACUUUACUUGACGCAUAUCUCUAUAACGUAUCAUAAAUAUAUGUAUAAUGUGUAUAAUGGGGGGGCGAUCAGACGAUUUUUUUAUGAAGUAUAUAUAUAAAUACUGUAGAUGUAGGCUACUGCUUAUUGUAUAUUUCACAAACUGGUUUAUUUACCGUUGAGGUGGACCAUUCUCCUCCGUGCGUCCCUGAGCUGCCUGCUUCAGAUCCGUCACUCUGCUGUGCUGUGAGGUAGUUAGUGGAUGAAGACUGUCAUGAAGUUGCUGCACCAUCUACAGGAUAAGAACCUUUCAAAUGGCGAAUAUUUUCGAGGUGAAACUGAAUCUUAUUCUCUGGAGUAUAUUUCUGAAAAUAUCGGCAAAAAUGGGCGAGUUUUGGCCGAUCACAGAUUAGUCUCAAACGGGCUAAAAUUGACCGAAAAUUUAAUCGGCUCGCCGAUAAAUCGGUCGAGCCCUAAUCGUAACACAUUUUAAAGCAUUAUAUCAUGAUUCACAAGGUCAGGUAUUAUAAUGUGUUAUUUUGUUGUAAUAAAGCCUUAUGACAAUUAAUGAGUGUUUAUAACGAUAGUUAUACAAGUUUAUAAGCAAAUUAUAACACAUCACUAAAUUAGGUAUAAUGCAUGGAUGGAUGGAUGGAUGGAUGGAUGGAUGGAUGGAUGGAUGGAUAGAUAGAUAGAUAGAUAGAUAGUGGUCAUAUAACAUAUGCAAUCAUAUAACACAUCAAUAAUUCAGUUAUAAAAUAGGAAGAAUAUUGCAGUGGUUUUGCAUUUCUGUGUGUUACAUUUCCUAAGAGCAGUCUAUCGCCCGAGGGAGAAAACUGUGUCUUAGCCUGUUUGUACAUACUCGCAUGAUCCUCAGUCAGCCUGGGGGGAAGAGUAAAGUGAUUGUCCAGGGUGAGUCGGGUCUCUGAGGAUCCUUUUUGUGCAUCUCGGCAGGGAGUAGAAGUCCUCUAGCUUAAGAAGAGGAGAUCUGAUUAUCCAUUGUGCUGUUUUGAUUACAUGCUGCAGAUUCUAACAGUCUGUAGCACUGCAGCUGGAAAACUUCACUGUAUGUACAGUACGUCAAGGUGGUCUCUGUGGAGCAGUGGUAAAAGUUCAUCGACUGCUGUUUGGGCAGUUUGCAGAGAUUUACACAGCCUGAUUAAAAAUACGUUUGACUCAGGAAUCGAUUCUUUCUCCUUAUAACACGCCUGUUUGUAAAAUAUCAAGUUUCAUAGCUAUGUGGAUUUGAGGCGUGGCUAUGCAUGUGGAUGGACAGGUGCAAUGUAACUGUUUUCUAUGAGACUAUUGGCUUCAAAACUCCUCUUCAGAGAACUUGCAAAAACUCUAUUGUUUAUGUUAAUUCCAAUAAAUUCUAGUUUGACAACAGGAUGAGGCAUAAUGUUAAAUGAAUAAAGGAAACAAGUAGAAAUAGCCUACAGAUGAAUUUCUCAGUGAUGCCUGCUACACCAAUACAUCAAUAGACCGAUAAGCUCAGCUAAUUUGGUGAUAAACACAUUUCAUAUUUCAUUGACUCCUUAAAAUAAAAGUCCCUUAUUCUUCUGUCGUUGGAGUUAGGGCUGGGUACAGCUCCGUUUUUAAAAGUUAUUUGGGGGUUCAUGUUUUCUAUGAUUGACACCUGAUACAGCCUAUUGGCGUUCAGGGAUUGCGUAGCUCUCCCGGGGGAUACGCUGUUUGAGCCGAGCGUCAUCACAGCGACUCUCCUGCCAAAUGCACACAAUGAUACUGUGCAAUGCUGGUUUCAGGAAAUGGAGAGCUUUUUGGCUUCAAAUCUGUAUACAGGCGGGAGGUGAAACCAAGUUGUCCAUAGUAUAUACGGUCCAUGGUUCUAAAUUAGCCUGCUGGUUUUCUGAUAGAGCAAAGUUCAUCAUAGACAUAGAGAUAAGUAUUAAAAGGAUUCAAACAGUUACUAACAACUAACUUUAUUGAGUUAACAAUGACCUCCUCAUUGAGAUUACCUAUUCGUGCUAAAAUUAGAUAGUUUACUCUUUCUGCAAGGAAAAAAAAAGACUCUUUUAUUGAUUCCAGACAAACCGGCAGAAGCUUUCAUCUGUGAAUUCUGGCUUUGUUUCACACACUCUGCACUCUUACAUCACCGAGGAAAAAAAGAAAAUAGGGAUAUGAAAAGCCCCCAAAUCUCCUAAAUUGGCAUCAGCAGCUCUGACAGGAUUUAAAAUGACCAGGAUUGUCACCAGCAAUAAUCAUGCCAGAGGAGCCAGUGUGGAUAACCUUUUCAGGCGACUGGUUUGCUCCAGAGGAGCUGGACUGAGGCCUGGUCCUUGCUAUGAAUCUCCCAUGGCUUAAAGGUCAUGAGGGCUCAUGACAUACUGAAGCCUAAAUAUUGCAAUCAGUGUCACAGGGUCCCUUAGCACCUCAUUAUCUCCUCCAAAUUCUUUAAAAGCUAUUCAAAGUCAAAUUGAUGUGUAUAAUGUGUUAAUUUAUCUGUGUUGUAAUAUUUUAAAGCUCUAAUGAGGCUAACCAAAUGGGGCCACAGAUGGCCUGACAACAGUUUUACACAGCGGAGAAGCUGUAUCACAGACAUCUGAGGUCAUGGAAAUAGCUAAUGCUGAAAUUCCCAAUAACUUUAUUGACCAAAGAGACCUUUCCACUGGCAAACUGUACAUAGACACAGGUCUCUAAAGUCUUGGUCAGACAUCACAGAAGUAAACUUUUCUCAUCAUCUUGCCUCCAGCCUUCGUCCUCCGGUGUUGCUCCUCUUUCCCGUCCUCCAGCUCGCCUUUGGUUUGUUGUAGGUCAGAUAUUUUAGGCGCACUGCUCCAAUAAUCAAUAAUCAGUUCUGCUUUUUCUUUGUCCUUCUGGUCCCCAGUUGUUCUUUAUCCUCCUCUUUCAGAAGUCACUCUGCUGUAUUUUUCAGAUCUAUGUCUGCUGCACGGCUGUUUUCUCUUUUUAUUGGGCUAAUAAGCUGUUUUACAAGCGAAAUCAUCAAUGUCCAUUUUCUGUAUGUGCAAAAAUCAUUCCCACCCUCUCCCUCACUAAUGAUAAAAAAUGAAAUGUCUACUUUCCGGAUAAAGCUAAAUAAAACUAAAAUCUAUUUCUAUGUUCGGCUGCUAUUUACUGCGUCCAGAGUGUUUAUAUUGGGGCAGAAGAUGAGCUUGUUCAAUAAAAACACAUCCAUGAGUCUAUAACUUCUUUUAAUGGUCUAACACUUCACCUUUUGCAGGAUUUCACUGGGCUGCAAUUUGUAGUUGCACUCAGUUUCACAUCAGUUUUUAUAUCAGGAGCAGCAAAAAGGAGCAAUAAACCCCCGUAAAUGAGUCAGCAAAAUGGGCUUUUUGUUUUAAGUCUUGACAAAUGGUGGUUAACUCGAGCUGAAGGGAUUUUCAGGUUUUGUUCUACCAGAUAAAACAUGUCAGCAAACAUCCCUCCUGUGAAAUGGAAGCUUUUCCCCGUCUGGAGAAAAAAAAGACAAUUGUUGUAAAGUGGCAAAAUAAGACUUAAUAAAAGAUGGCAGGUAACCCAACUGUCACUCACCGAGCUGCCGAAACUAAAAGCAGAGCUGCGUUUGAGCUGAGCUGUGUGUGGGGUGGAUGUUAUUGCUUUUGUGUGGCUUGUUCGCUGCUUUGUCCACAGAGGGUACAAACAUUAAAACAAAACAAAAGGUGGCCUUGAACAAAACUCGAGACUGCUGUAACACCUAAAUCUGGAAAACCUCAUCUGCAUUUUGUCAAAGAAUCAAGGUGGUUUCUAACUUUUGUGCUGAUCUAUGCCAAAAAGUCUUCGCUGUAGCCUUCUAGACCUAUUUCAGGUCUAGGGGCAUACGUAUAAAGAGAGUGUGUGUGUCACCUGCCUGUAUUUGCAUAUCCAAAUGUCAAGUUCAGAUAUGCACUGGGAUGUCACGUCUCAUUAAUGCAGAAUACUUGUACAAUGUCUCAGAAACUUUGUAAACUCCUCGGUUUAAAGUUUCAGGGAAAAUAGAAACGACGUUUCACUUUUUCAAACCUUUAGCUUGUUAAAAAUCAGCCUGACAUGAAACUUUAUUUACAGAAUAGUAAGUGUAACAAAUAGGUGUAAAUUUUGAUGAACACGAAAACUCCUCUCUCACAUGAAGAAAAGGAGAUGUUAAUUAAGAGGAAAAUCAACGGGGGGAAUAACUGAUCAUGAAUAUUUCUACUCUUAUUAGUCCAUGAUAUUACACCUCACGACUUAUGAUUUUGUCAGAUGGUGAAUAUGAAAAAUGAAAAAUCUGAUGAACUUGGGGGUUAUCCUCUAUUUUAUUGCUUUUAUGAGAGUUAUGAUGGAUAUUUUAUGCUUCGUACUCAUGUACCGACCGGAAACCGGUCUAUGUUUAUGAUCUGUCUCAAGGCUCGCCUUAAAUGGGGUACACAGUACAAGAUCAUCUUGCUGAUUUUGCCCCUUUCCAACCAAAGUCAGUGAAGGCCUGAUUAUCAGAUGGUUUUAAAGGUUAUCUUUCCAGAUCACACUGCAGAAGGAUUUUGACAUUUUACAAGGGGAGUGCUAAAGCGUCAGCGGGCUCCCGUAAAAGUCGAAAAAUAACAUGAAGAAAGCAAGACAAGUGUGGUGUGGGACCAUUCCAAGCUGAAAAAUGAUAAAGUUUGCUGCAAACACUGCGAUGCUGUGUACAAGUCCAACACGACAACGACCCCAAUGAUGUACUACUUGAACCUUAUACAUCCAACUGAGGUUAAUGAAUCCUCCGAACCUUCUUAGUCUCAACCUGCCAUCAGAUCCUUGACAGUCCCCAUCUUGGAUGACUUGUCCCCGGCUAAAGUUGUCACCAGAAAUGUUUCUGAUUUUUUGUAUUUCAAUAAGGAAAAACACCUUUUUUUGCGUAUUUUCAAUUAAAUUGAUGAAUGAUCGUUAAUCCAUCCAUUUUCUACCACUUAUUCCUGUUCCAGGGGUCGCAGGGGGGGCUGGAGCCCAUCCCAGCAUCUUCAGGCGAAGGCAGGGGACACCCUGGACAAGUCGCAAGUUCAUCACAGGGCUGAUAUAUAGAGACGAACAAUCAUCCACGCUCACAUUCACACCUAUGGGCAAUUUGGAAGUGGCCAAUUAACCUAACCCCACUUAGGCAUGUUUUUGGGAUAUGGGAGGAAACCGGAGUAAACCCAUGCAGACACAGGGAGAACAUGCAAACUCUACACAGAAAGCCAGAUUUGAACCCGGGACCGUCUUGCUGUGAGGCGACAGUGCUAACCACUACACCACUGUGCCACCCAUGAUCAUUAAUAUAUAUAUAUAUGAUUAAUCUCAAGGCACUCUCUUAAAAUGCCUAUUCCUAAUUAAGAGUAAAUUUUCUUCGCUCCAAUCUACGCUGAAGACGAUCAAAACCACCAAACUUGGAAUAGUAAAUAUUAAACAAGUUCAGUAUCUGUCCAUUUUCCUGUCGAACAACUCAAUCAAUUCAAAAAGGAAGAAGGAAGUACAACAAAUGUAAGUACGGCAACGAUACAAACAGAGACUGAUGUCAGAAAUGUAGGAUCCAUUUGUUGAUCCACAGCAACAAGACCAGCGUUUUCACAGCAUGUUUGGGAAAAUGUUUGCGAAAAUGAUAAGGAGAGGCGUAGAAAAAAAAGAAAGCUAAGCAGUUAGCGACAAUAAGAUCACAUAGUCUGCCAUGUCUUGUUUACUCUAAAAUCACUCUAAAAUGCGUUUGGUUUGAGAGGUGGGACUCUGGUUGCUCUUUCAUUGUUAAACCUAAGGGAUGUGAAAUCUGAGCUGCUGCAUUGUCAGUGAUAUUUGAUAAGGAAGCAUGUCUGUUAGUAAAAAACAUGUCUAUGAAGGCUGGUUUAGAGUAUCCUCUUCUGUCACUCCUCCAGUUUCCCUCCUUUAUCCUCCCUCCUUUCUCUACACGUUCACCAAGGACAGACUGGCCUAGCUCAGGGCUUUAGGAUCCAGAGAUGGUCAAUAGAAGUAGAUGUGUAAGAAAUCCGAUAACCUCAUCGUAUAUAAUCAGCCCUUUAAAAACAGAGCUGGAGUUCAUGAAGUUUGUGCACCUCUCUUGGCCUUGAUGAGACAGGGCGCGUGUGAGGUGAACAAGUAUUUGUGUGCUUAUGACUCAGACUUGGACUCAAACUGUGACUGCAUUCAGACGGUGAAGAAAAUAGAGCGGUGAACUCAGACUUAGUAAUACAAACUUGUAGCUUUUCUGAAAAAAGACCCUCAUAAUUUAGGAGAUCCUGCCGGGAUCCUGAAAGAGGUGCCCCAAAUUGUGCAUUUUGCUUUCAGCAAUUUUUCAGCAUCUUUACACUAUUUUUUAAUCCAAUACUUAAACCAUCAAAUUCUGUUUUUAUCAACAUUUCUCACAAAGUCCCAACUCUUAUGAAACUAGAGUUGUACAUAACUGUGAUGGCCUUUUAGCCUUUGCACUUACUCUCAACUCCAGACCUCAAAACUGUGUCUAAUUUUAUGUUGAGUAACUCUCUGCAGUAGAGAUAGAAGAAGAGAGAAAGAGAGAGAGAGAGAGAGAGAGGGAACGACUGGGAGGGCAGAGAUGGAGAGAGCAGUCAGCAGAGAGACAGAUAGAAAGUGAGACAAAAGAGAGGGAGAGCAGCAGGCAGAAAGAGAUGGAUAAUGAGGACAGACAGAGCAGAAUAUUUCUCCUCUGGAAUAUUUCACACUUCACAUAAUAUUUCAUUCGUCCCGUCAGAGUCCUGGGUCUGAGAUCCUAGCCAGGGCAGACAGAUUGACAGACUAUUUUUCAUCAGCCAUGCUUUUCCACCCCGGCUCCCGCAACUGUAAACCUCUCUCUAAAUGACUGCCAUAAAUCCUCCACAAAUCCACAUGUAUUUCUGCCAUAUUCCUGGUGACAGCUGAUUAUUUCUGCUGCGGCUAAUGUGUGUGUUCACAACUAGAGUGUAUUAAUCUAAAUAACAUAAUCAAAUCGACAGAGCCAUCAGCGUUUAGUGGGAGUGGAAUGAUUCAUUGUUAUAAUGAAUGAGAGGUCAUUUAGGAAUCAGAAUAAGUUUCCUGACCUGGAAAAACUCAAUAAUUACUUUAUAGAGUCCCCAGUGAUUUAUAAAAUCAUAUUUUUAAAAGAUAUACGGCGUGUAAUUACUCGGGUCUGGCUAGAUUGACCAUUUAUGGCAGCUAGCAAAUGUUGCUACAUCAAUCAAGAAGCAGUUCACAGUGGCAGUGGCUGGUUUUAUAUUGAUACCUAUUUAAAACUUUGGGGAUUUUGUAAUGAGAUGACUGAAAACAAAAGCAGGAUGCUGAGUUUAACCUGCUGACCUACAAUCAACCUGCUGAACUGGGACUGUUGCUAGUUUACUUCAUCAGUUAGCUUGCCCGCUGUUUACCCCAACAUCGUCUCAAACUAACUUUUACUGCUUCUGUCGAAUACUUAACAUUUUCACACAAAAAUCUCCAGAUGAACCAAAAGUGCCUUUUAAACUCUUUCACAUUGCUAAAGCUAAAGUAGCCCCCAAUUACCACUGCAUCCGGAGCGGCAAUUUUCACUGUCCGCCAAUUCCUACAGGGUGCAUUUGUGUGGCGAAUUUUGUGAUGGAUUUUGGACGUCAAGAAUCGUGAAAACUCCAAAAAAUUAGAGGAUUCCGUCCUUUCAGCGGAGGAAAUCCACUUCUAGACUUCUUGAAUCAGCAUCUCCUCAUUCAUGGUGUAAGUCAGGUCCGCCGCGCCUGCGGCACGUCUCCAGCAAGGCACAAAAAUAGAGCCCAAUGACUCUAAUUAACUACAUGUAAGGUUAAAAGAGGUUUUAAGUCGCUUAAAUGAAUGUCAUGGAGAUGUUAAAUCACAGGUUAUUGCUUUUAGUAAUCAUGGUGUCAAUCAGGAUUAUGGUGAUUUUUGCCAUUAUCGAGCAGCCCUACAUUAUUGAGCUGUUUGAAGCAGACACUCAUCUUUUGACACCUUUAACAUUUGGACAUUUACACCUUCACUGUUUUGUUUCAUGGUUUUGGAAACACUAUGACAACAUCAUGCUGAACAUCUUAAAUAACCACCACAGUAGAUAUGUCACAUGUAAGUACUGCCACCUAAAGGAAUAGUGAAAAGAGAAGGGGAACAUGUGUCCCAGCCUCUGAAAUCCAUCCCUAAAAUUGGUUAUAGCAAAGUAAGAUGAUUAUAAUGAUGUGCUGCCUGUCUUAAAUGACCCUGUGACCUUUCUUCUACUCUCCAGGCCAUAAUAUCCCCAGAGUCUUCAUUAUACUGUGCUGGAAGAGCAGAAUUAAUAAUCUCGUUUUCUAAGCGCAUUGCUGCAUUUCAUCCUGCAGCUCCAAUCUCCUGCAGAGGGGAGUUGAGCACACUCAAAAACUCUCGGCUCUAUUUAAUCAUCAGUCUUUGCUAAACUAUUUGUGAUACCCUCGUAUAAUCAGUGUAAACACAUGACAUCAUGGUAGGGAUGAUUGGUCAUGUGAACCUUGCACCAGUGAUGCUGCCCCGGCUAAUGUUUCUCCAAAUUAAGACUCUUAUUUUCCUCAGACCGAUAAUCUUUAAACCCUUUCAGCAGGGCGUAACUCUUCUUCUCAAUGAAAAAGAUGAUCCCUCCUCUAACAGAUAUUUUCUCUGCUUUUUCACUGAAGAGGAUAAACAGCUAGAGAGUGAUUUUCCAUCUGUCUUUUACUCCUUCUACCAUCUGCCUUUGUGGGUAACUCUCAGGCAUUUAUUUUGUCUGUGCUGGAAGAACAUUAAUCUCUUCCUGGUUUGUGUCAAAACACAUCUCUCGUCAAAUUUGACCCAGCAUGUGAUGGAGGCUGCCAAUCGUCCUCUACAUGCUCUCGCUCAUUUAUGGUUAAUAUCCUCAAAACAGCCGGCCAGAUACAAACCGACUGCAGCUAAAUGUUGGUGCACUCGUCUCUCUUCUGGCUUCAGAGGACCAAAUGUUAGCCAGCCCUGGCUCCUGUUCCUGCCAGAUUUGGCUAAGAUGUUGGGGUGCAGAGUUUGGCGGGAAAACAGCUCCAGUUAGCAGCACUCAAGCUGGUGUCAACACCUGGAAGAGGACCAAUAAAACCUGGGACGAUUUGGGGAUGUAAUUCCUCCCCAGUCUGGCACAUAAGCAAAUUUUGGCCUCCUGAGCUUAAGGCAGAAAAAAGCUUAAUGUGUUAGAAUAGAUUCACGGAUAAUGUUCAAUGUUCUUCAGACCAAAAGAGAUAAAUUCUAAUUUUUCAUUUUGUGGCAGCAGCUUUUGUUUUUAUUAACAGUGAGGGAAAAAAUGGUUGAUUUUCCCUCUACAUUUAUGAACAACUUGUUUUCAAUCACUAAAUUAAAUUUGAGUUAAUGAACAGCCAGUUACUCACCGUUUUAAACAACAAAAGUCAUAACCUUGAACAUUAAACACAAAUUAGUUUUCCAUUAACGACUUCCUCGUAUCUGCCAUCCAAGCCCUUACACUCAACUCAGCAGAAGUCAGCAAGGUUAAUCUGCGUUAUUGAAAAGACACCGAGGCAAUCAUGCAUUCAACAACUUAUGUAUGGAUUUAAGUAUGAAACAUAAUCAGGUGUACAUUAUUUUCAAAAAGAACCACUUGAUUGACACCCUUGAGAUGUUUUCAUGGGGUCCCAUCAACUAUUUUGAUAUGAGACUAGUCUGUGACUAUUGAAACGAUUAUUUGACUAAUCAGAAAAUAUCUUGCCAAGGCUAGUCUAAAUGUUCAUCCAACAUUCCAACGUGCCUUCUCCUGAAAUGUUCGUGCAUCACCGAUGUACUGCCAUGAUGCGCAAGGUCUGCUUUGCAAACCAUGCAUGUUUUUUCUUCUGCCUUAUCUAGGCAACAGUGCUCCCAAACUUUUUUAAGCGCGUGCUCGUAGCUGCUGUCUAGGACGCCAGCACCGCCACGUUUGAAUACCGUACCGCUCAUUGGUAGGGUAUUCAAACAUGGCAUUCAAACAUCCAUUCAGCUCUAGGCAGAGAUCGUAAUGAAGUAAGAUGCCUCACUCCACUGGAAAAAAUACGUCUGGUGACAAUAGACAAUGGAAUUCAUUGUCGACGUUUUUCAACUAAUAUCGACUAAUCGUUGCAGCCCUAGUCCCAACAGAAACCUCUCUCCCAACAUGACAACAAAAGUUUGGCUAUGUCAAGAAAACCAAAAGAAGAUUUAUUCAAAUCUUUGAACAAUAGACUGACAACAUAAAACCUCAUUCAUAGAAAAGACAACAGGACCAAAAGACGGCUAAAGUUUCAGGAAAUGUUGAAUAAAAGGGGUGUGGCUGGUGUAUGAGUAAUGGCAAUCUCAAAGUAAGAAUACAGAGCAUUUUAAAACACACUGAAUAAUGACAUGGAUCCAAAGUGAACUCGUACAUUUUCAAAACAACAGGAGCGUUAAACCUAAAAGAUUAUUUUGCCUCUGCAGUCAGCAACCAUCUAUAAAAUGUUGCUCUGCAGUAGGGCUGUAAAGUCCUUGUUGAAUGGUCAACUUAAUUGGUCAAUACGUGCUGAGUUGACCAAAAUUCUGAUUGGUCGAAUCGAUUUCUUUCUGCGUCAAUUUACAGUCUAUGGUUAAUUUCAUUGGGAGGAACACGCCAAGUGCUAAUGGGGGUGUUUUCAGAGCACCUACAUUUCACAGGUAACAGCUUGUCUCAGAACACCCCCUUGUUUUCACCAUUUUAGACUCGCCCAACCCACUGGAGUCUGGCUGGAGACAGGAAGAUCGAAGAGCGUCCACGUCAAUCAAUGUCCGGUGGUUUGCUGAAUAUUUAUACUUAUUUUGCGCAUUUUAACCUGCCUUUGUGUUUAAUUGCCUUCUUGUGCUGAUAUCAAGAUAUUAUCGCCCCGCCAAGCCGCAUUUCGCCAAGCCGCAUUCCGCCUAGCCACGUUCCCCCAAUUGGUCGAUUUUUGGUCAAAAACUUUAGGGUUUUAGUCAACCAAGAAUCUCUUUGGUUGAUUACAGCCCUACUCUGUAGAAAACAGGAUGUAAAUGAAGCUCAACAUCUUGUUUGCAGACAUUUAACUUCUUUACAGCUCCUCCUUUUCCUCAAGGUGACAGAAAUGUCAGACAUCAUCUGAACUGAACAGCCAACUCUGCAGUCCGUCCUUGCGCUCACGAUUUUGUCAGGAGGGACUGACUCGGCAGAUAAACCCGCCAGACUUCGUGACAUGGAUAUUUAACCCAGGAGCCACCUUCUCAGUGGCAUCCAUGUUUCUGUCUCUCUCUGUUAAAGAUAACCAUGACUCUGCGGCAGCUAAUUUCACUGUCACAUUACAUGACAGUGUCAGUGUAGCAAAGCGCUGUAGAACAAAACUGAACAACAGGGGAACCUCUCUCCAACAAUCUGAGUGUCUCCAGCCAGACCCUUUGGCUGAGCUGGUUAGUAUGGUGAUUCUUAGCUGGAGGUUAAAUGAGGAGAAGACUUUCCUUGUGGGAUGGGACCAGGCGUGUGCUCUGGCUUCUUACCACGUGAAAUAUUAACAAGGCCGGGACUGAGGAGGAACAGCAGCUGCACGGCCGUGGCCUCUGCACAACGUGAAGACACAAAGACAGAAUAAAAAGAGACUUUGAGGAUAAAGAAAAAAAAGGAGAGAAGCUGCAGAGCAAACGGUGCUUUGUACAACUUCAUGGCUGCAAGAAAAAAUGGUUGAAAUUCAGAGAAAGAAAAUCUGUGAACUGUUUCUUGGUGACUCAUGACUGAACCCAGUCAUCCGACACCUUUGAUGAAGUGUUAAACAGGUAAUUAAUCAGUAAUUUUAAACUGAUUUUAAUUUAAAGUAACCUUCUGAGCUGUUUGCUGCAUGUGAGUCAGACUAAGCUCAGUGCGAUGUGAUGCAACAAUCCUGCAACGGAGACUCACAGAGGGUAGCGCGCAGAGUACGUCGCUUAAGUAUGCAUCUCUUGUAUUUUUAAUAAUCCUCCGAAAUUAACUGUGAGCUGUGUAAGUCCUACGUCUGGGCCUAAGUAAACCAGAAGCGGGCGUAGACUCAGCUCUGGUGUUGCAGAGUUUUCUGCCUCUUUGAGGAGUAACAGUAAUUCUCAUAUCAGCAAAUUGUGUGCUGUUUUUACCACUUCAAGCAGAGAGCUGAAUCCAGAUUUGUAGUACAACAAGUACACUUGACAUUUGUUUACUAGAGAACGCCAAACAGAGAGGAAAAAAAACAGAGAUAAGGUAGCAGAGGAGAGAAGAGGAUAUGAAAUGUAACAAAGGAUGGAAAUUGGAUUUCAAUCUGCCAUAUUUCAAGUUCAGCCUUGUGGUAUAUGCCAGCUCCUUUUUUCUUUUUCCUACUUUGUUUUUAAUCUUGACUUUUCACGAGCAGAGCUGGAACAAAGCAUCUCGCCGCUUAAAUGUCUAAUUUACCCUCAGACAUGUACAGGGAGCCGACUCAAGAGCAGGAGUGCGCUUCGUAAACGAGGAGGCAGGGGCCAAAUGAGGCUGGCUGAUUGCUAUUCUGAACCGAGGCGUUGUGCAGAAAGGAAGACGAGACUGGGAAGGGAAAGCCGCACACUGACAAAAGAGGUAGACGUGAAGUGUCUGUGUGUGUCUGUGUGUGUGUUAGCAGGUAAAAAGGUGUAAAAAGGAGAUGUAGGCCACAAUUACUGCAGAGAUUCAUUCUCAUGCUCAUAUGUAGUAUUUCACUCUCUCUCCCGUCACGCACAAAGAUACUGUCAGCGAGCUGUCCCGUCUUUUCAAAGAUGAUUUUAAAAGAGAUUAAAAGAGAGAACCAGAUUUCUCCACACUCCCCUGUUGCUAUGGUGACGCCAAAUUGAGUCACUCCUUCAUUCUCUCCCUUUCUUAUGGUCAAAUCAUCAAAUCAACAUGUAGGUGCAGUCCUGAACAAGGAGGAAGACUAACUGCAGGGCGUAGGGUGUGUGUGUGUGUGUGUGAGUGUGUAUGUGUGUGUGCACGUGUGUGUGAGAUAGAGACACUCUUGUUAUCCUUUCUCACUAUGCCGCCUGGCGCUCCUUGUUGUAGUGACAAUGAGGGGGGUGUGGAUGAAUCAGACUGGUGUGAUCUCAUGUGAGGGGCUUCCUCACACCACUGCUGCCAGGAUCUGACAACCGUGUAUCUGCAGAAUUCCUGUUUUUCUGGGUGACAAUGCCAACAGAUUUCUGAAACGUGAAGUUAACAAUCAUGUCGUGUAUCUUUUUUUCCCUGACCAUUACUUCUCAAGUUUGUUUGCCCUGAAGGAGUGCACUGCCAUUUUUGAGGGAUUUGAGUCAAUCAAGGGAACACAUAUAAGUAAGAUAAGGAUAUGUCAAGGUCACCGUCAGCAAGCAUGUUUCAUCCAGCCCCCCUGCUGGAUGGAAUUCCCCAGGGUUUGGUUCUUGGACCAGCCCUUUUCUUCCUGGACAUGCAUCCUCUCGGUCAUCUGUUCAGUCGAUUCCUGGAUAUGACACACACUUUCAUUUUUCUGCAAAUCCCAAUAAUCUCGAUCUUUUUAUAGCUGUCUUUCUGUUGUGCAUAAGUGAUUAUCAGACACUUUCACUACUUCUGUUCAACAGCUUAUAGGUAGAUAGGCAGUGAUCCUGUCUAAUAAUUUACUGUAUGUUUUAUUUGUUGCCAUACCAUGAUAUAUACCACUAAAGGCAGAAAGACAUUGAUUUACUUCUUUAGUAUUUAUAUCCAUCUAUAGAGCCGGCACAGUCAGUGGAGCUCUCCUUGUUCUUCCUGUAAAUCAGUGCGGCUCAUUCACACCUACAUGUUGCUCUGUUUAAUUCUCAGAUCCCCUCCUUCUGCCAGUAUGGGAGUCAUCUCUUUACUGUCUUUCCUCUCAUUUUUGUAAGUAAAGGAAAAUUUAUUUUCUGUUGCUUUUGCUGAGCAAACUUGACAGUAUUCAGGCCCUAGUGUUUUCUCUGUGUCGCCAUGUUGAUUUUGGAGAUAAAAGAAUGAAAAAAAUCAAGUUGUCGCAGCAUUGUAAGCAGUGGACGAGG
rnacentral:lncRNA from 1 species